CUACGGGGCGCUCCAGUGGGGAAUAUUGCACAAUGGGCGAAAGCCUGAUGCAGCAACGCCGCGUGAGCGAUGAAGGCCUUCGGGUCGUAAAGCUCUGUCCUAAGGGAAGAUAAUGACGGUACCUUAGGAGGAAGCCCCGGCUAACUACGUGCCAGCAGCCGCGGUAAUACGUAGGGGGCAAGCGUUAUCCGGAAUCACUGGGCGUAAAGGGUGCGUAGGCGGCUGAUAAAGUCCGAGGUGAAAGGCUACGGCUUAACCGGAGUAAGCCUUGGAAACUUAUCAGCUUGAGUACAGGAGAGGAAAGUGGAAUUCCUAGUGUAGCGGUGAAAUGCGUAGAUAUUAGGAGGAACACCAGUGGCGAAGGCGACUUUCUGGACUGUUACUGACGCUGAGGCACGAAAGCGUGGGGAGCGAACAGGAUUAGAUACCCUUGUAGUC
rnacentral:rRNA from 1 species